UAAAAAAUUAAUAUAUUUUUAUUUUUUAAAUAUUUUAACAACAGUGUAACCAAUAAUUUCAUUACAUUUAAAUAAAUAUAUAUUUUCCCCAUCCUUGAAAGCUUCAAUCAAGACUUCAUAAAAGACCAGGCCCCCUUGUUAGUUUACAAAAAAAGGGAGCUUCGGAAAUGGAAGUGGAGUCUGUCUUGCUUGCUUUGCUGUUGAUAAAUGCCCUUACGUUUUCGCAGCUUAAUCUGGCAGUUGAGGCGGCUGAGUCUGUUCCUCUAUCACCAUCGGAUGAUUUCUCGAAAGAGUUGAAAGCUUUAUCUAGGAGGAGUCGGCGAAUAACUCCACCAUCACCCAGGAUUAAUGCUCCUGUUCACUUCAAAAGCCCUCCUCCAUCACCUCGACCUCCUCCGCCGCCACGGUCACCACCACCUCCAUGUCUGUGGCGUCCACCUACUGCGUUUGGAUAAGACGAUUGUUUCCCAGGUUACACACAGUUGAUGAAGCUCUCAUGUCAUCAGCUUUUGUUUGUAAAUUGUAAAACUUUAAAGUGCUUGUAUGUUAGCAGCAAAUACCAACUUUGUUUAGCUCUGAUAAUAAUUAAAUUUGUAAUGAUAAAAAUAAUAAUAUGUUAAAUAUAAAAAUGAAUAAAUGUAUGCAUCACUUUCACUUAAACACUCUUUAAGAAAUUGUUUAAUAAGUAUCCCUUGUCUUCCCUUCCCAUCUCUUUGAAGUCUCCCGACCAUCUCUAUAUGUAGCAUAAAUGAUGAGCAGCCCUCCAUCAACGAGGACCCGGGUCCUCAAAGGCCAACUCAAAAAAGCAUCUCAAUCUAAGAGAGGAGGGUAGCCUUUUCAGUGCAGUGCUUUCAGGGUUGAAUGAGCAUCGAGGUCUUUCGAGAUUGGGGUUUUCUCGUAGGAAAAAAAUGAAAAAAUCAUCUUGAUAAUAGUCCUUUUAUAGAUCGGGUGGACAAAGGAAUAGCAAGCCUUUGGAAGGAAGAAAAAGCUAACAUAUGGACGAAGAUCGGGUGAAUGAGAUAAUUCCCAGAUUCAUUUCAAAAACCUCUAGAUUAGCCUUGGCCGAACACAGGUAAACCGUCCAGACCCCACUCAAACCAUAGUCCCCUCAAAGGCCAACUCAAAAACAACAAUCUCUACGUCUAUGGAGCCUGGACUGCAGAAACUGAGAAACCUCCAAUUCCAAGCUCCCUGGUUCGGUGCAACUUGGACUUUCUGGGAAGGGCAUUAAAUACCCAACCAACAUAUUUAUUUUGGCCACUUCACUGUAGAGGGAUCAUGGGUCGAGUUUGUGCCGGGUUCAGAUAAAAUUUUAGGCCCGUUUUAUUAGCCCGGAUCUGACUCGGUCUGGCCCAAAAUAUAGAUAUAAAAAUUUAUCUAAACUUGGCCCGAAAAAAUUAUUAAGCCCGAGCCUGACUCGGCCUAUAUUAAUUUUUUUAACUUAUUUCAUUAAAUAAAAAAUUUAAAACAAAUAUUAAAACAAAAAACAAAUAAAAAAUGAGACUAAAACAAUUCUUAAAACAAUACACAAAUUGAAAAUAUAAUAAAAAGUGAUUAUAUUAAAAUUGAAACAAAUUAGAACUAAAAUAAUAACUAAAUUAAUAAUAAAACAAAAGUAUAUUUGAUUAAAUAUAAAAUAUAUAUAUUUAAUAUAUAAUUCGUGCCAAGCCGGGCCGGGUCUAGCCCAAAAAAAUUUUACCUAAGGCUUAGCCCGUUUUCUAAACGGACCUCAUUUUUUUGGCCUAAACUUAUAUUUUGAACAUAUAUUUUUAUCUAAAUCUUUUUAUUUUUCAAGUAGACUAUCGGACCAGGCUAAAUAACUUAACCCAUGAUCACUUCUACUCCACUUCAGUAAUCAUUUGACUGCAGCCAAACCAAUAUCAAGUUGAUGGGACUGGGGGUCAAAAUUCAUGCACCAAGCAAUCUACGCUGCUAGACCCAAGACCAUUCUUCAGCUUGAUGAGCCCAAUGACCAGAGCCAAUGCUCUACGACUAGCUCCAUGAAACCCAAAAUGCAGCAAGAGACUCAUUGUAACGCCCCACUUUUGUUGUGUUUAGAUUGUUAAAGUAUGUUAAAUAAUUUAAUCUGGUAUGUGGUUAAGCGUCUUAAAUGUUUGUUUUAGGUCUUGACUUUAAUUCUUUUAUUUUGGAUUUUUUAUUAAUUUUGAUGUUAUGUUAAGCUUGACUUUUUAGGCUUAUCUUUUUAUUUUAUUAGAUUGUUGAUAAGGAUGAGCUUAUUAGUCUAGUAAACCGUCCAUUAUUCUCUCACCCCCUUUCACCUUUUUUCUCCCUGUUAUUGUUUUCUAUUUGGUUCUUUCCUCUCUUUUUUCUUUUUUUCCUCUUUGAGCUUUUUUCUUUUCUUUUGCUUUGAAUCUCCGAUUUCGAUUAUAAUCCAAAGAUAACGUAAGUUUUGUUAAAUUAUUUUGUUGUUAUUUUGGUGUUAAUUCGUUGUGCAAGGGUGAAAUUAUUAGUUUAAUCCUUUUAAUAUAUUAUGAUAAAUAUUCUAUUGAUUCUCUUAUCAGAUUAAAGGGAUGUGAAUCGAAACCCUAAAAUUUUUGGACUAUUUAUUUUAUAAUUUUAAAUGAUAAAAAUAUUAUAUUUUUAUAAAGAUAUAUACUAUUCAAAUGAUGAAAUUAUAUUUUAUUUUAUAAAAUUAAAUUUUAAUUUUAACAUUCUUAAAAAUAUUUUCUACCUUCCCCUCUUCCCUUACCGAUCAUAAACAUGGACAUCAAUCCUAAACAUGGACAUCAUAUGGCGAACAAAAUUUAUAUAAAUUUAAAAUUUUUUAAACACGGUUAUGUUUUUCUCCAGGUUUGUCCUAACCUCACUUGGCACCUUUUCCUCUUACAUAUCUUGAAAUAAGGGAUGUAAAAAAUAUGAAAAAAUUGCAACAAAUAGUUUUGAUAGUAUGCUCCGAGUGUAGCAUUUGGUGUCUGCUGGUUAUUAGUGUUUUCUUGUGUGUGUCGACUGUUGGUGUUUCUUAUGGAGGAGGGGUUAGCAGAUCUGCGUUUAACGGAGGAAGAAGACAAUAAGGAGUUGGAAGCUUGGGAGAUUGAACAGAAUAAGGAGAUAGAAGACUCUUUUUCGGAGUUGUGCUUGGUAGGGUGUUUUCUAACAGCAACUCCGAUAAAUUUUUAGGCUAUGCGGACUGUGAUGGCAAAUCUGUGGCAUUCUUUGGGGGGAGUUUCCAUUGCAGAUGUGGGUGAGAAAAGGUUUGUCUUUCAAUUUUAUUGUGAAAUGGAUUUUGAUAGGGUGGUGAAGGGCGCUCCUUGUACUUUUAACAACCAUUUACUUGUUUUUCAUCACUUAAAACAAGGCAAAGAUCCCUUGGAAGUGGAUUUAUUAUAUACCGAGUUCUGGGUUCAAAUUUAUAAUCUGCCACCUAGUUUCUUUACGGAAGCUAUUGCUAAAUAGUUUGGAGAUUUUAUUAGAGCCUUUGUGGAGUACGAUGUCAAAGCGAUUAUGGAGGGAUUAAGAAAUUAUAUGCGGAUUAGAGUUAAAGUUGAUAUCCGGCAAAGUCUGAAGAGAAGAAAGAAACUUAUUAUGGCAAAAAAAGAGUUCUUUACUAAUUUCAAAUAUGAAAGGUUGUCAACAUUUUGUUUUCUGUGUGGCAAGCUCGGACAUAGUGAGAAUUACUGUCCUAUACGAAUGGUGACAGGGAGAAAGGAGCUUCCUCUUGAAUGGGAUAUCUCGCUCAAAGCUCCUCCACGUAGGGCGGCGACGGUAGGCAGUAUUUGGUUAAGGGAACCAACUGAAAUUUGGGGAGUGUAUCAGGGAAUUUCUAAAAAUGAUGAAGGCAAACAAGGAAAGAAUCUGGGGGAAUUAAAUCUAAUGAGGAAUAAUGGAACGAAUUUGGGGUUGAAUUUAUAUGAAAAAUCAAAACAGAUUGUGAAUGAGGAGUUGGUGUUGAUGGAAGUUGGGUCUACUAAAGAGGAUCGGCCCAUUAUUGGAGGAGAGGGGAAAAAGAGGCCUAGACCCAAUAAUAUUCAAAAUGCCUCUACCACCGAUGAUAUGAUGUGGAAAAAUGGGUUAAUGGAGGAUGUUAAUCAAAUCAACCAUACGGCUGAACCUGCAGGGCAGGUCAACCGAGCAUUAUGAAAAUAUUAAGUUGGAACGUCCGUGGGCUGGAGAACCCACGGUCUGUUCAGAAAAUUCAGCAUGUGCUGAAAAAGUACUGUCCCCAAGUUUAUUUUUUUAUGGAGACAAAAGUAGAGAAAUCGAGAAUGGAAAGGAUAAGAAAGAAAUUUGGUUUUGCGAAUGGGGUGGAUAUUUCAGCUCAAGGAUCACGAGGGGGUCUUUCUUUGAGUUGGUGUAGUUCGAUGGAUGUUACCAUCUCAAGUUAUUCUGGGAAUCACAUUGAUGCAGUUAUUGUUAAUAGUGAUGGGGCGACAAAGUGGAGACUAACAGGGUUUUACGGUAUUCCAGAUUAUCAGUGGAGAGAUAUUUCUUGGGACUUGCUAAAGCGGCUGAGCACGAACAAUGAAUUGCCUUUGGUUGUUGUAGGGAUUUUAAUGAGAUUUUAUUUAGUUCUGAGAAACAAGGAGGUCGAUUGAGGGAAGCAAGGCAAAUGGAGGCUUUUCGAUCAGCUUUGGAAGAUUGUGAGCUGGUGGAUAUAGGGUAUUGCGGCCGAUGGUACACGUGGGAAAAGGGGAAUUUUGAGGCAAAUAAUAUAAUAGAGCGGCUUGAUAGGGGAGUGGCUACUUUGGGUUGGACUGAGAUGUUUCCGUUCUCCCGGCUCCUUCACAUUAAUAAUUCAACUUCUGAUCAUUGUCCUCUAUUGUUGGAUACGGAAUUUUCAACAAGUAAUGGUAAUUCUUCAAAUUCAGGGUGUUUAUUUCGCUUUGAAACUGCUUGGUUGUUAGAAGAUUCUUGUCAUGAGUAGGUUAGAUCUUUGUGGGACUCCAAUAAAAAUGUGUUAGUGCCUGAAAGAUUAACACUGAUGGGUGAGGGGCUCCGAAGAUGGGCUAGCCAUUUAAAGAAUGAGAGGGGUGCGAAUAUGAAGAAGCUGUCAGACUAAUUAAAUAAACUGUCUGAGGAAGAUCCUUCAGAUGACAUUCUCGAGGCUAUGAUUAAGACUAAAUUAGAGCUGAAUCUCGAGAUUGAUAAGGAAGAGCUCUAUUGGGAGCAAAGGGCUAGAUCGAAUUGGUUAAGGUAUGAGGAUCGGAACACUAGUUUUUUCCAUAAUCUUGCCUCAAGUAGACGUCGUAAAAAUAAGAUCGCUGGGCUGAAGGACCAAAAUGGGUCCAUCAAAGAUACGGACGAAGAUCUUAUGCGAAUUGCAACCAGUUAUUUUAAAGGACGGUUUGCGAGUGAGGGAAGUAGAGGAGCUCAAAAAUUUUUUGAAGGGGUCCAAAAAAUGAUAACAAUUGAGAUGAAUAGGAUGUUGCUGGAUACUUUCCGGGAGGAUGAAGUUAGGAGGGUGGUCAAGGAGAUGGGGGGAAAUAAAGCUCCCAGUUUUGAUGGCUUCCAUGCAGUGUUUUUUCAAAUAUUUUGGGCGAUUGUAGGCAAGGAUGUUACAAGCUUUUGCCUUAGAGUACUUAAUAGAGAACAACAGCUGAAUGAGGUUAAUUUUACAACGAUUGUUUUAAUCCCUAAAGUCUCAACGCCAGAUUGUAUGACAGAUUUUCGGCCCAUAAACUUAUGUACGGUGCUUUAUAAAAUUAUAGCGAAAGUCAUUGCUAACAGAUUUAAGAGAGUGUUAGAUGGUUGUAUUGAUGAAGCUCAAUGAGCGUUUGUCCCUGGUCGGCUUAUUACGGAUAAUGUCCUUACGGCUUAUGAAAUUAUACACACUUUUAAGAAUAGAAGAAAAUGGAAGAAGGGUUUUUUUGCUUUAAAGCUUGAUAUGAGUAAAGCAUACGACAGAGUUGAAUGGGGAUUUGUCACAGGUAUGAUGAGGAGUAUGGGGUUUGAUGAUAAAUGGGUGGAGUUGAUAAAUCAUUGUAUUUCUUCGGUCUCUUAUGCUGUUACGAUUAACAGAAGCUUGAGUGAGCCUUUUCAACCGAAACGGGGACUCAGACAAGGGGAUCCGUUGAGUCCCUAUUUGUUUCUUAUUUGUACUGAAGGUUUUUCAACAUUACUUAAACUAGCCAAGAGGGAUGGUCUUAUUCAAGGCGCACGUGUUUGUCGGGGGGCCCGAGGGUAACUCUUUUGUUUUUCGCGGAUGAUUACAUUAUCUUUGGAGAAGCAAAUGAGGAUGGCUGCAGGAUAAUGAAGGGAUUUCUUGAUGACUAUGAAAAAGCUUCAGGUCAAAAGAUUAAUUUGGACAAGUCUCAAAUUUUCUUUAGUUCUAACUAUUCUGAAGAAACUAGAGAGCUGUUGACAAAUUAUUUGGGUGUUAGGUCCGUAACGAGCAUGGAAAAGUAUUUGGGUCUGCCUACAAUGGUGGGGAGGAAGAAGAAUGAGGCUUUCCAAAGAUUGUGUGAUAGGCUGAGAACAAGAAUUGAUGGGUGGGGGAGUCGAAUAUUGUCUCAAGGGGGCAAAGAUGUCUUCAUCAAAGCAGUAUUACAGGCCAUACCGAUUUUUUUAAUGUCUUGUUUUUUGCUUCCAAAGUCAUUAUGUGCUGAAAUGGAAAAGAUUAUGAAUCGAUUUUGGUGGGGAAAAGGAGGUAAUAGGCAUGGUUUGCACUGGUCCUGCUGGACUGAUUUAUGUCAGGCUAAAGAGAAUGGGGGUCUAGAGAGAUUACCUGCUGUUAGAGAGGUGGAUAUCGAUCGAUGGAAACCCCCACAAGCUUCAUGGGUAAAAUUGAAUUUUGAUGCAGCCUACAAAGUUCAAUCGAAUAAGUCCCGUUCGGGGUUCAUCAUUAGAAACGAGAAAGGGGAAGUUAUGGGUAGUGGGAUUACUCUUCACUCCAACGUUUUGGAUGCGGGUUUGGCUGAAGCUUUAGCUUGCUAUCAAGGUCUCCUCUUUGCCAAAGAAAUGGGGUUAACAAAAGUAGAGGUUGAAGGAGAUGCACGGGUAGUAAUUGAGAAAAUCAAUCAGGAAGAAAAUGGUAGAGCACAUUUGGACUCGAUUAUAGAAGACAUCAAAGCAUUUGAAAGGUUUUUUCAUCAGAUUAGCGUUAAACAUGUUAGAAGAGAGGUUAAUCGAGUGGCUCAUCUCAUUGCUAGGGAGGGUUACAGUAGAUUAGAAAAUACCUUUUGGAUGGAAGACAUUCCGGCGGUGGCGAAAGAGCUGGUGGCUACUGAAGAGACGAGCAACGUUUUGUAAUCGACAGAAGGUUUUGUUCAAGGGUGUUUGGACUGGGCUGAUAAAUUCAUUGAAAGCCAUGCUUUAGUCACUAGAGAGAUUUACAUGGUGGUCUGGAGCUUUGUUUUACCGGGUUUCCACUUUACUUUUUCUUUUCUAUUGUUGUUUUUUUCAGAUGUUUUUGGUUUCUUUAACUAUUUUGAUUGGGUUUUGUUAGGUUUUAAUGGAAAUCACGGUUUUUAAUCAAAAAAAAUAUGAAAAAAUUGUUCUCUUCAAACUGCAUGCCGUUAAAUUUGGAAGUGCUUGAGGUUUCAUUACGUGUCCAACUGGAGGAAAUAAUAGCAUUAGAUUUUGAAUGGGACAGAAGAGGAAUGCCUACCAUGGAAUUUUGCCUUCUAAAAUUAAACAUACUUGUACUGGAAUGCCUACCUGAAUUGAAAAGUAUUUGCAAUGUUGAUGCAGUGGUGGUUUGUGAAUCCCUUAGAUGGAUUGAUAUAAUAGAUUGUCGGAAAUUAAAAAGGGUGCCUUUUAGUCUUCCCCAAAUCCGAUCAUCUUCACCAACUCUCAUUUUCUAUUUAUGUAGCGAUAGAGGAGUGGUGGAAAUCUGUGAGUAACAUUGGCAUUACUUAUAUUUUCUUGUUUCUAGGCAACUUUGAUGAAUGCAAUUGCAAGCUGUCUUCUUUAUUUGAAUCAAACCUCAUUUCUUUUUUGGUUGUAAUAAGCUUUGGUUAUUGUAUUUUGAUGCUUGUUUAUUGUGUCUUCCUUUUCCAUUCAAUACUUUUCCUUCGUAAUAUUCUAUAUCAACAAGACGAUAUACAUAUUAGAAAAAUUGAGAUAUUUCAAAGGAAUCAAAUAUCAUAUUCUUAAAGAAAGAUUUUGAGAUAUUUGUUUAUAAAUCUUUAUACUUCAUGAGUUAGAGGGAAUCAAGUUGAGAAGGUAGAUUUGUUCAUUAGAUUCAAAAAGUUAUUGUAAUAGAUUUUUGAACCUUUUAGUUUUUAAAAAUAUUUUUUAUUAGAUUUUUUAGAGUCCAAGAAAAAUAAACUUUUUAACUAAUAAAACUUAUAUUUAUCCAAGUUAUAAAUAACUUAAUCGAUUGAAAUUAUUUUUAGUUAAAUCCAAAUUCAUUGAACUAUUUUCAAACUAUUUCACUUACCUUUGCUAUUUUUAGCCAAUAAAAUUCUUAUAUAUAUGGUUGGAAGCCAAUGCAACUUUUGGAUAAAAGCCAAAUUUAUCCUUUAAAAGAUUUUUUUUUUGGAAGAUUCUAGAAUAUAAAAUAAAGAAAUAGGAUAUUAUCUAUAAGACUAGAUAUUAUAUAUGAAUAUUCUAGUUAUUAAAUAUUUGUAAAAUUAAUAGUAAGGAUAUUGACAUGUAUCAACAAUCCAACGGCCACUAAACUCUAUAAAUAGGGGUAAAGGCUUUCAUUCUUGUAAUGAUGUAAGAGAGAAGUGUGUAUCAUAUUAUAAUUGUAUUGUGUAUUAAUAAGAGUGUUUUCUUCUUUUGUAAUUGUAAGUCUCGGUUAAACCUUAAGUUUCUAAGCACUUAGUGCACUUGGAUUAGCUUUUAUAUACAGUGCACUAAUAAGUUAGAAAAUAAAAGAUUAACCGACUUCAGAAAUUUAGUGUAGCAUUAGUUGUAGGUCCGGCGAAAUAUCAUUAAAGACAGUAUCCAACACGUCUCAAGUUAUUCAACUUUUAUUUUUUAUUCUUUAAAUUGAAUAUUUACAAGAAUACAUACCAACACUUUUAAUUCUUUGAUUUCUAUUCAUAUAUAUUUAUAUCAUCCAUAUUUAUUCAUACAUUCAAAGUUGGGAAAGCAGUUGUGAUUUUGUGAGCUUGGAGUCUUAAUUUAAUCCCAACAAAACCUUAACAAAUCAUCAGCAAAUGAGAUUCAGCUACAAUCGAUUGGAUGAUCAAAGAAUAAAAAUUGUUUCUAUAGUUAUACAUCGUAUCGUGAAGAUUCGAGAAUCCUAAAGGAAUAAUUGAUAAGGGAUUAGAUUGGAAAGGGAUUAAUAGAGGAUAUGGGUAACAUGGAAGCAAACUUUGACAACUGUCAGACUAUACUAAGAACAUUAGUUGAUAAUUGAUUGUUAGAAAAUGUAGGAAAUGGAAGAGUGAAAAUGCAUGAUUUUGUAAUAGAUAUGGCUAAACUAAUCACCAAUGAGUUAUAUGAAUCAUGAAUUAACAUUGCAACUUUAACCUAUGUAUAAUUUAGCUCCAACAUUUAUAUUUUUUUAUUAACUAAAAUGAUACAAUAAAUCAAAAACAAUCAAAACUUAAAUUAAUUAAAAUUAACUUUGUAUUUUUUAUUCUUUAAAGACAGUAUCCAACACGUCUCUAGUUAUUCAACUUGUAUUUUUUAUUCUUUAAAUUGAAUAUUUACAAGAAUACAUACCAACACUUUUAAUUCUUUGAUUUAUAUUCAUAUAUAUUUAUAUCAUCCAUAUUUAUUCAUACAUUCAAAGUUGGGAGAGCUGUUGUGAUUUCAUGAGCUUGGAGUAUUAAUUUAAUCCCAACAAAACCUUAACAAAUCAUCAGCAAAUGAGAUUCAGUUACAACUGAUUGGAUGAUCAAAGAAUAAAAAUUGUUUCUAUAGUUACGCACUGUAUCGUGAAGAUUCGAGAAUUCUAAAGGAAUAAUUGAUAAGGGAUUAGAUUGGAAAGGGAUUAAUAGAGGAUGUGGGUAACAUGGAAGCAAACUUUGCCAAGUGUCAGACUAUCCUAAGAACAUUAGUUGAUAGUUGAUUGUUAGAAAAUGUAGGAAAUGGAAGAGUGAAAAUGCAUGAUUUUGUAAUAGAUAUGGCUAAACUAAUCACCAAUGAGGUUUAUGAAUCAUGAAUUAAUAUUGCAACUUUAACCUAUGUAUAAUCAAGCUCCAACAUUUAUAAUUUUUUAUUAACUAAAAUGAUACAAUAAAUCAAAAACAAUCAAAACUUAAAAUAAUUCGAAUUUAAUAAAAAUCAAAAUUAAAAUUAACUUUGUUGAUAUGGUAAUGCAACUAGAAGACAUGGGGAAGGACAUGGUUGUGAUUAUGGAGGUUGGUUCAUCCAGUUGGGAUAGAGAGCCAAAUACUACAAAGAGUGAGAAUGAAGAGAUAUGCAAACAAAGUGUUGAGGGGAACUUUUUUCAUCGUUCUUAGAAGUAUUUAUUGACGGGGUCCUGCAACAGCCCGAUUUUGGGUCUAGUCGGAACAGUAAUUUCAGGACCACAAAUUCGACGAGAAAAAAUCUAAUCGCCUAAAUUUUCAGGGGUGUCGGAACGGUGAUUCGAGAUCACUGAAUCCGACAAGUAAGUAAAAAAUAUUAUUAAUUUAGUGAGUAUAAGUUAAAUGUGAAGUUAAGAAAAUUUUUGAAAUAGUGAAUAGUGCACUAGAAAUAAAUAUUAAAAUAAUUAGAAUAAAAAACGAGGUAUCGAGACCUCAGAGAUUUUAAACCGAGCCAUAAAUGUUUAUAAAAAUAUUUAUGGAGUGUUAAAAAGUUAGUAUUAAAGUUUCGUUAAGAAAUUUUAAAGUUUCGAUAAUUAAUUGAACAAAAAGGACUAAAUUGUAACAAAUCCAAAAUUAUGGUAAAUGAUUAAAUAGCUUAAAUGAUAAAAGGAAGAGGGCUUAAAAGGAAAAUAGACUCAAUGUCUAUUUGGGCUGGACGGCAAAGGCAUGAAAUCAUCAAGAAUGUACGAAGAAUUAAGGGCAAAAUUGGAAUAUUGCAAAAUUACUUAAUAAAGCUAGGAUCAAAGUGGAAUUAUCGAGAUUUCUCUUUAUUUUUCUGCAUUCUCAUCAGCUAAAACAGCAUAGAAGGGUUUUCUUAAGCUGGUUUUUCAUAUUUUUACUGCAAGUAAGUUCAAUUCUUGAUUAUUUCUUGAAAUUGUUGUGUUUUUGUGACUUUUACAACUAGGCCCACUUGUUGAAUUCAUUAGAUUUUGAUUUUAUGAAAGAAGUUGAAAGUUGCUAUGAAUAUGUGCUGGAAGUAUAUGAUGAUUUAGAAUGGAAUUAGAGCUAUCCUCAGAACACUAGUAGAUAAUUGUUUGUUAGAAAAUGUAGGAAAUGAAAGAGUGAAAAUGCAUGAUCUUGUUAGAGAUUUGGCUAAACUUAUCACUCAUAAGUUGUAUGAAUCAUGAAUUAACAUUGCAACUUUAACACAUGUAUUGUUAAGCUCCAACAUUUAUAUUUUAGAUCAAUUAAAAUCAUACAAUAAAAAACAACCAAUCAAAAUUUAAAAUAAUUCAAAUUUAAUAAAAAUAAAACCUAAAAUUAACUUUAUUGAUAUAGAAAUACAAUAAAGAGGAGAUAUGGGAAAGGACAUGGUGGUGAUUUUGGAGGUUGAUUUACCCACUUGAGAGCGGAGAGCUAAGGACUGCAAAGAGUGAGAUUGAAGAGUGCAUAUAGGCAAAAUGUUGAGGGUAAGUUGAUAGAGUAUAUGUUUGUAUGUUUGGAGAGUCAAUCAUUUCUUCAUCGUUCUUGGGGGUAUUUAUUGGAGAGGGUCUUGUGAAGGUUGUUAACAUGCUAAAUUUGCCAUCUAACCAUCAUUACGGAACGUGUGGGGAGGAUGUCUAUGAUGGGAUGAGAAUGCCUGUGAUGAGACAGAUCUUGUUAUUCAUUAUAAUACAAUAGUGCAGAGUAGUUGAGCUCACACGGGAGUUGGUAACCAACAAUAUCACGUUUUUAACAAAAGGCCAAGGGUUCAAAGUAAUGAGUAGUUCUUGUUUGUCUAGAUAGUUAGGACGAGAGAUGAAACUUGGGGCAGCCUUCCAAUUGGUGGUUGGCAAAUUUGUUGCCUAGGUGACCUUCUAACUUGUCACGUGUCCUUAUUCAAGUAGGAGUAUAAUAAACUCAAUUUUUUAAAGAUGUAAAUUAGUUCAAUCUAAGUUAAACAAGUUAAUUAUAAAAAUUAAUUCACAAAACAUUUAUGUUUUAGGAUUAUUUCCCAAGAUAUUUAUGUUUCUUUUUCUUUUUGAAAGGUACUCAGAUGGCCUAUCAAUAAGAACUUUUUGAACUUUAAAUCCUAAUCUAUUUUUUUUAGACACUAAACUUUAAAUUAAAAUAUUUAAUUAACUUUUAAAGAGCCCACUUUUAAAACAAAAAAGCCUAUGAAAUAUUGAAACCUACGCAACAACCCUUUGAAAUAUAAUAAAAAGCCAUGACAUCACAUGCAUACAAAACUUAUAUAAAUUUAAAAUUUUUAAACACAGUUACGAAGUCAUAAAAAUACAAACAGUCUUUUAAUUAAAUAUGGUAGGUGCAUUAAUUAAAUCUCAAUGCCCACCGAAGUUGACUUAAAGGAGUUGAUAUAUAGGAUUGAUAAAUCAGUUUUUAUGGGCUAUUUUACCAAUCUAGCCUAAAAAAAUUUGAUAUUUACAAAAAUGACAUUGAUUCAAAAACAUUUACUAAAAUAACCUGAAAUGUACAGUAAAAUUAAGUUAUGAGAAAUAGAUAGCCGGCACCACUUUUUUCUAUUAAAAAAAUAAUUUUUGAGGUUUUAGACACUAGAUAUGUAACACCCCCUAACCCUAAACCGUCGCCGGAACAGGGUUAUGAGAUAUUACCGGACAUAUCAAAUAAUUUACAAAUAAUUCUUAAAUAAAUAACCAACAUAUUAUAAUAAUUCAAAAAUUCAUAUAAAUUUUACUAAUUGAUUUCAUUCAUUUUUUUUAUAAAAAUUUCGGCAUCAUUUCUGCUUAUUUUUACAUAAAACCCCCUGCAAAAUUUCAAAACAUAACUAACCCAAUUCCAAUAUUUCAAUCAAGGCAUUUAUAUACUUAAACCUUACUUGACAUAUUGACAUAACAACUUAAUUAAUAAAAAUCCUAUUAUCAUUUCUAAUUAACUCAUAAAACUAAUCAAGUCAUUUCAAUUCGAGACCAAUGCCAUAAAAGACUUCUACUAUUUUACUAAUAUAAUCAUCAAAACACAUAAUAUCUUACUUUACAACAAAACUAUAUAACAUACCAAAAUAACUAUUAUAAUUCUUAUGUACAUGCCACUUUCAUUUAAUGAAGAAAACAUCAUCGAAAUCUCUAUGCAGGAGUUGAGAUUGACCUGGAUGCUAAAUCGAGACUCAGACCCCUUUUUCAACCCGCGCACAGAAACAACCAUACGCUGAGUAUUUUACACUCAGUGGUAUUACCAUAAUUCAAAUUAUAAUAGCAAUAAAGAAUUAUAAUUACGAAGCAUGUAACUAUCCGAUUUCUUAAAUAUCAAUUAAUUCAUAAACUUUCAUUAUUUAACAAUAGCAAUACAAUUUUUUUUAGCUAUUCUUCAUUCUCAAUCACAUAUCACAUGUAGCAAUUUCAAUCACUACAUAAACAUUAAAUUCAUGCAUUUUAUUUUCAAUAUCAAUUUCAAUCUGAAAUUUUAAAUUUUCUCAUAUUCAAUACCACAAUCGAUCAAAUUCAUUUAAUUUUCUCAUUUCAAUUAUUCACCCUAUUAACAAUCUGGACUUUGACGGAUACAUGGAUUCCAACCCAAACACACUAGUACAGCACAUUGUGCCUAAAACGGUACAUAGUACCUGAUCAGUAUACGACACAUAAGUGCCUGAAACGACACACGAGGUGCCUGAUACGACACAUAAAGUGCCUGAUCGGCAAAGCCGAUAAAUCCCGUACUCUUCCAAAUCCUAUGGCAUGCCAACUAUAUCCGACUUAGCCCGACUAGUUAAUAGGGUAUUCAAAUUCUCAAUUCUCUUUGAUUUUCAAUUCAAGAUCACUUUUCCACUUUCUAAUCAAUUAACAAUUUAAUAUCAAUACAUAUUUCAAAUAAUCACAUAUAAUCAUAUUUCAAUUCAAUUCAAACCACUUUUCAAUCAUUACACAAUUCACAUAUUCACACAUAUUCAUAAAUUAAUUCACUUUAUUUAAUUCAUUUUUUAAAUCCAUUUUUUAAUCAAAUUCAAAUCACUAAAUACUUUUUAAUCAAUAUACAUUUCAAAUACUCACAUAUUUCCAUCAUUCAAUUUAAUUUGAUUCAAUUCAAGUCACUAUUAUCAUUCCAAUUGCUUACCUAAUUUUACUUACCAUGCAUUUUAAUUAAAAUAUAACAAUUAAUAAUAAAUAGAUUUGAAUUAUAGUAAUACAAACCCGAAUUUGCUCGAUUAUUCCUCAACGACCUUCUUCUUCCCUUUUUGUGGCGAUACCUCGAAUUAUUUAUUAGCUACGAAAAUUAAAUAAUUAAAUAAUUAAUUACAGCACAAAUUUUACAAUAAAAAUAAAAUUUCUAUCAAAUUUUAUACUUUAAUUCCAAUUUAAUCCUAACUAGAUUUAUCUACUUUUCUAAUCUAAUUCAUACUCUAUUUCUAUUCAAAUUUCUUAUAAACUCAAAUUUAUCUACUAAUUUUCAGCAUUUUUCACUAAUUUUGAAUUUUCCUCAAUUUAAUCCCUAAAAUUCAAAACUUAUAGUUUAGUUUACAAUUCAAUCCUUUAUUCAAUUCCAAAUAAAAUUUCUAUUAAAUAAAUCCUCAAUUCCAUCAUUUAUUCAACAUAAACCCUACUCAAAAAUCUAUUAACUUUCAAAUUUUCAACUUAAAUCCAAGAGUAUUUCAUUCUAGGAUUCCAAAAACAUCAAAUUUAUGAGAAAAGGACUUGAUUUAGUUUACCUAUUAAACUUCAAGCUUCAAAAUCUCAAUUUUCCCCCUUUCUUUUCUUUCCCUUUUCUUCCCCUGUUUUCGUCUCUUUCUCUGUUUCUUUUCUGUUCUUCUUCUCUUUUUCUGUUCUUUUAUUUCAUUUGUUUUCUUUUACUUUUUGUUAUAAUAAUAUAAUAUAUAAUAAUUAGUAUAAAUAUCUUUUACCACACAUGUCAUAUUCAUAACCAUACAUUUGUCUUAAUUUAUUUCACAAUAUAAUAAUAUAGAAUAAUUUAUGCCGCCUCAAAUUUGGCAAUUAGCAUAAUUGCCCAUUUGACCCCUAUUAUUUUCCUUUAAUCUAUAAUUAAACUUUCACUUCUAUUAUAAUUUAAUCCUUUUUACUAAUUACUGUUAAUUAGACUAAAUUCACCUAAUUAAUACCUAAUUAAGCACUAAAUUAAACUCAUGAUUACUUCUAAUAAUUAUUUUCGAACUCAAUUUACUAAGACGGAGGCCCGAUAUUAUACUUUUCCGAUGCCCGUGAAUUUUUGGGUCAUUACAAGAUGGUUGGCACCAUGUAUUUUUUUUCAAAAAAAAUUUUUUUGGGUACUGGCACACUGAUGGCCGGCACCCCUUUAUCUGAUUAAAAAAAUAUUUUUUUGGGGGAAAGUGGUGCCGGCCAACAAAGGGCCAAAAUCACCCAACAAAAAAAAUUGGAAAUAUUUCAACAUAACCCCUCCUUGUUUUCUCAUCUUUUUUAUUUCCCAAAUUUAAUUACAUAUUUUAUAUUUUAAAACAAUAUUGAACUACUUAUCAUAUUUUUUAAUUAUUAUUGCAUCACUCAAAUUAUUAUUAAAUUUAAAAACUAAUUUAAAAUAUAUUGAACUACAUAUUUUAUAAAAUUUAAAAUUUUCAUGAUUGAAUUUUCCAUCUUUUGAAUUUCAUAUUUUUUAAAAAUUUUUGUUUUUAUUUUGUUAAAUGUAACUUGAUUGUUGUUAAACUCAAGUAUAAAUAAUAAAUUAAGCCUAAAAAAAAUAUAUUUAUUUUUAAAAAUAUUUAUUAAUUUUAAUAUUGAAUUUUAUAAUUGUGAAAAUAUAUUAAAAUGCUAAAUACAAUAUCCAAAAUGACAGUAAUUGAUACUAAACUAGUUAAUUUUCAAAUCAAUAAUUUAAAAUUAAUUUAAAUUUAAUAUGCACAAUUAAAUUAUAUGUUUUUUUUAUAAAAUUAGAAUAUGCUUUUAUGAUUUUCAUCCUUUAUAAUAAUUCAAAUAAAUAUUGCUAAAUUAUUUUUUAUUUUAAAAAAUAAUGAGUAAUAUAUUUAUAAAAUAUGUAGUUCAAUAUAUUUUAAAUUAAUUUUUAAAUUUAAUAAUAAUGUGAGUGAUGCAAUACUAAUUAAAAAACAUGAUCAUAUUAUUUUAAAAUAUAAAAUAUGUAAUUAAACUUGGGAAAUAAAAAAGAUGAGAAAACAAGGAGGGGUUAUGUUGCAAUAUUCCCAUUUUUUUUGUUGGGUGAUUUUGGCCCUUUGUUGGCCCACACCACUUUCCCCCAAAAAAUAUUUUUUAAUCAGAUAAAAAGGGUAUCGGCCAUAAGUGUGCUAGCAUCCAAAAAAAAAUUGAAAAAAAAGACAUGGUGCCAGCCAUCUAGUGUCCAAAACCUCAAAAAUUAUUUUUUAAUAGAAAAAAGUGGUGCCGGCCAUCUAUUUCCCAUAACCUAAUUUUACUGUUUAUUUCAAGUCAUUUUGGUGAAUGUUUUUGAAUCAGGGUCAUUUUUAUAAAUAUCAAAUUUUUUUAGGUUAGAUUGGUAAAAUAGCCGUUUUUAUAAUAUCAUCAUUCAUUUUAUUAUUAAAAAUUAAUAAGAUACUUUUAAAAAUUAUGGUUUAUAUAUUUUUUAUAUUAGAAAAUUUUGAUAAUUUAUUUUUUAUUUUACAAACUACUUUAAAAAAUUAAUAUAUAUUUAUUUUUUUAAAUAUUUUAACAACAGUGUAACCAAUAAUUUCAUUACAUUUAAAUAAAAAUAUCUUUUCCCCACCCUUGAAAACUUCAAUCAAGACUUCAUAAAAGACCAGGCCCCCUUGUUAGUUUACAAAAAAAGGGAGCUUCGGAAAUGGAAGUGGAGUCUGUCUUGCUUGCUUUGCUGUUGAUAAAUGCCCUUGCGUUUUCGCAGCUUAAUCUGGCAGUUGAGGCGGCUGAGUCUGUUCCUCUAUCACCAUCGGAUGAUUUCUCGAAAGAGUUGAAAGCUUUGUCUAGGAGGAGUCGGCGAAUAACUCCACCAUCACCCAGGAUUAAUGCUCCUGUUCACUUCAAAAGGCCUCCUCUAUUACCUCGACCUCCUCCGCCGCCACGGUCACCACCACCUCCAUGUCUGUGGCGUCCACCUACUCCGUUUGGAUAAGACGAUUGUUUCCCAGAUUUCACACAAUUGAUGAAGCUCUCAUGUCAUCAGCUUUUGUUUGUAAAUUGUAAAACUUUAAAGUGCUUGUAUGUUAGCAGCAAAUACCAGCUUUGUUUAGCUCUAAUAAUAAUUAAAUUUGUAAUGAUAAAAAUAAUAAUAUGUUAAAUACAAAAAUGAAUAAAUGUAUGCAUCACUUUCACUUAAACACUCGUUAAGAAAUUGUUUAAUAAGUAUCCCUUGUCUUCCCUUCCCAUCUCUUUGAAGUCUCCCGACCAUCUCUAUAUGCAGCAUAAAUGAUGAGCAGCUCCCCAUCAACGAGGACCUGGGUCCUCAAAGGCCAACUAAAAAACAACAAUCUCUACGUCUAUGGAGCCUGGACUGCAGAAACUGAGAAACCUCCAAUUCCAAGCUCCCUGGUUCGGUGCGAAGGGCAUUAAAUACCCAACUACCAUAUUUAUAUUGGCCACUCCACUCUAGAGGUGAUCAUGAACCGGG
rnacentral:lncRNA from 1 species